CUGGGUUAUGUACGAUCGAGAGAAGGAGGGAGCUAGGAAGAACCAAACCCUAACAACAUAGAAUCCAUCAAAUUGAAAGGGAAAUUGAAGGCUAAUCGAAUGCAUGAACUAGGAAUGUCGAUCACUUAAGUAUCUCCAACAUCAAGGUCGAGGAAAGGAGGGGAAUCAAACCAAGCAAAGGCAAUAGGAGCGCACGACUCCGGUGAAUCUCACUCUUGAUAAUGGCGAGCUUGGAUCGAACACACCACAUCGCCCUUUAUGCGCUUCCGGUUUAGUCGUCUUUGUAAAUGGGUCAAAACACUUUCAUAAUGUAAAUGUUAAGUUUAUGUCUAA